rnacentral:tRNA from 1 species
CGGGGCGUAGCGCAGUUCGGUUAGCGCGCACGGUUCGGGUCCGUGAGGUCGGCGGUUCAAAUCCGCCCGCCCCGACCA